GCUUGCACCUGGUGGCGAGUGGCGAACGGGUGAGUAAUAUAUCGGAACGUACCUUAUCGUGGGGGAUAACGCAGCGAAAGCUGCGCUAAUACCGCAUACGCCCUGAGGGGGAAAGCGGGGGACCGUAAGGCCUCGCGCGAUUAGAGCGGCCGAUAUCUGAUUAGCUUGUUGGUGGGGUAAAAGCCCACCAAGGCGACGAUCAGUAGCUGGUCUGAGAGGACGAUCAGCCACACUGGGACUGAGACACGGCCCAGACUCCUACGGGAGGCAGCAGUGGGGAAUUUUGGACAAUGGGGGCAACCCUGAUCCAGCAAUGCCGCGUGAGUGAAGAAGGCCUUCGGGUUGUAAAGCUCUUUUGUCAGGGAAGAAACAGCAGCUCCAACACAGUCUGCGAAUGACGGUACCUGAAGAAUAAGCACCGGCUAACUACGUGCCAGCAGCCGCGGUAAUACGUAGGGUGCAAGCGUUAAUCGGAAUUACUGGGCGUAAAGCGUGCGCAGGCGGUUAUACAAGACAGGCGUGAAAUCCCCGGGCUUAACCUGGGAAUGGCGUCUGUGACUGUAUGACUAGAGUGUGUCAGAGGGGGGUAGAAUUCCACGUGUAGCAGUGAAAUGCGUAGAUAUGUGGAGGAAUACCAAUGGCGAAGGCAGCCCCCUGGGAUAACACUGACGCUCAUGCACGAAAGCGUGGGGAGCAAACA
rnacentral:rRNA from 1 species